rnacentral:misc_RNA from 1 species
AUUUCGCCGAUAACACAGAGCGCUUGCUCCAGUCGCUCGGAUGCUGUUUCAGUUUCGAUUCAGUUUCAGCGCUGGAAGCUGCAAAAAGCCCAUCAAAGCUGGGAUCGCGUGCAGCUGAGCCAGUUUCACGACGCGUUCGGUCAGAUUGUGUUGAAAUUCAGAUUGAUUGAUGUCGCUGCUCCUUUCAAUCUAGGUUUUCCUCAAAUCAGAUGAGAUGGCUGGAAAGUUGCUGGCGCUUCUGAUACUCGCCACAAAGCUGAAAGUUUUAAUGGGCUUGCCAGAUCUCAUUCCAAUUGGAGGCUUGUUCCAUCCGACUGACGAUAAGCAGGAAAUCGCGUUCCGCUACGCCAUAGAGAAAAUUAACAGCGACAGAACGAUAUUGACUCGGUCAAAGUUGCAGGCUCAAAUUGAGAAAAUUCCCCCCCAGGACAGCUUCCAUGCUUCGAAAAAAGUUUGUCAUUUGUUGAGGACGGGAGUGGCAGCGAUUUUCGGUCCCCAGUCUCCUCAUACUGCCAGUCAUGUUCAAUCCAUUUGCGACACGAUGGAAAUUCCCCAUUUGGAGACUCGAUGGGACUACAGAUUGCGCCGGGAAAGUUGUCUUGUCAAUUUGUAUCCCCAUCCAACCACCCUGUCCAGAGCUUAUGUCGAUUUGGUUAAGGCUUGGGGAUGGAAAUCCUUUACGAUAAUUUACGAAAAUAAUGAGGGAUUAGUUCGGCUUCAGGAGCUGCUGAAGGCUCAUGGUCCCUAUGAGUUUCCCAUAACAGUGCGGCAGUUAGGAGAAGGAAAUGAUUAUAGGCCUUUGCUUAAGCAAAUAAAAAAUUCCGCCGAAUCCCAUAUAGUGUUGGAUUGUUCCACGCCCAGAAUUUACGAUGUUCUCAAGCAGGCCCAACAGAUCGGGAUGAUGAGCGAUUAUCACAGUUAUCUGAUCACUUCACUGGAUCUGCAUGGAGUCGAUUUAGAGGAAUUCAAAUAUGGAGGCACGAAUAUCACAGCGUUUCGAUUGGUCGAUCCUGAUGGGCCGGAAAUUAGGCGAGCAGUGCGCGAUUGGAGUUUUCCUCCGGAUAUCAAAAUGAAAAAAACCGAGCCUCUUUCUGGAUUAUAUCGUGACAACACGACGUUUGUUAAGGCAGAGACCGCUCUGAUGUAUGAUGCAGUUCAUUUGUUCGCCAAAGCUCUUCACGAUCUGGACACCAGCCAACAAAUUGAUAUCAAGCCACUGAGCUGCGAUGCCGUUGACUUUUGGCCUCACGGUUAUAGUCUCAUUAACUACAUGAAAGUGGUGGAAAUGCGAGGCUUAACCGGCGUCAUCAAGUUCGACCAUCAAGGAUUCCGCAGCGAUUUCAUGCUGGACAUUGUGGAGUUAACGCGGGAGGGACUGAAGAAAAUUGGCACUUGGAAUGCUAGUGAGGGCGUCAACUUCACCAGAACCUAUGGGGAAGCCUACACGCAAAUCGUUGAGAUUAUUCAAAACAAAACUUUUGUGGUUACAACCAUUUUGAGCUCUCCUUACGUGAUGAGAAAAGAGGCGAGCGAAAAGUUGACGGGAAACGCUCAAUUUGAAGGAUACGCUGUGGAUCUUAUUCACGAAAUAUCCCGCACUCUGGGAUUCAACUACACAAUAAAAUUGGCUCCGGAUGGUCGUUAUGGGUCCCUCAACAGGGAAACGAGCGAAUGGGAUGGAAUGAUAAGAGAACUCCUGGACCAAAAAGCUGACCUGGCAAUAGCUGAUCUCACCAUAACAUACGACCGGGAGCAGGCGGUGGACUUCACGAUGCCUUUCAUGAACUUGGGCAUCAGCAUUCUCUAUCGGAAGCCCAUUAAACAGCCCCCGAACCUCUUCUCCUUCCUGUCGCCCCUCUCGCUGGACGUCUGGAUUUACAUGGCUACAGCCUACUUAGGCGUCUCCGUCCUCCUGUUCAUCCUCGCCAGGUUCAGCCCGUAUGAAUGGGACAACCCGCAUCCAUGCAACAGCGAGCCAGAUGUCUUGGAAAACCAGUUCACCCUGCUAAAUUCCUUAUGGUUCACCAUCGGGUCUCUAAUGCAGCAGGGAUCCGAUAUAGCCCCAAAAGCGGUUUCGACCCGAAUGGUGGCAGGAAUGUGGUGGUUCUUCACCCUCAUAAUGAUCUCCUCCUACACGGCCAACCUGGCAGCGUUCCUCACAGUGGAGAGGAUGGACUCCCCAAUAGAAAGCGCUGAAGAUCUGGCAAAGCAGACCAAAAUCAAGUACGGCGCUUUGCGCGGAGGCUCAACAGCCGCCUUCUUUCGGGACUCAAACUUCUCAACUUAUCAACGCAUGUGGGCCUUCAUGGAGUCUCAAAGGCCUCCGGUCUUCACCUCCAGCAACCAGGAGGGCGUGGACCAGGUGGUAAAGGGCAAAGGCAGUUAUGCGUUCCUGAUGGAGUCCACCACUAUUGAGUAUAUUAUUGAAAGGAACUGCGAGCUCACUCAGGUGGGCGGGAUGCUCGACUCCAAAGGAUAUGGAAUCGCCAUGCCUCCAAAUUCCCCAUUUAGAACCGCCAUAAGUGGCGCCAUAUUGAAGCUGCAAGAAGAAGGAAAACUGCACAUUCUCAAAACGAGGUGGUGGAAGGAAAAGCGGGGAGGUGGAGCUUGUAGGGACGAAACAACGAAAACGAGCAGCACAGCGAACGAACUGGGCCUGGCCAACGUCGGGGGAGUUUUCGUGGUUCUAAUGGGGGGAAUGGGCGUGGCCUGUGUUAUAGCGGUUUGCGAGUUUGUGUGGAAGUCCAGGAAAGUGGCGGUAGAGGAAAGGGUGAGCAGUAUUCUGCACGACACGUAGCUAUAAGAGUACAAGUACUAAGGGAAUCGGGCACCUUGAGAAGUUGAACUUUCCUCAAAGGUCUAAUGGUGAAACUUUUCAAAAACUAGGGCGAUUGGAAAGUGCAUAGUUUCCACAUAUGACCAGGACCGCAUUCUUUAAAGCAGCCAAAUUCACAUUAUGAUCAUGGGCGAUUAAAGCCGUUUUUACAGAGUUUCAUCAGCAGACACUUCCUAAAUCAAACUCCGAAACCAUUAAGAUAUGUAGUAAACAUACAAAAACGUUGCCUGAUUCUCUCCCAAUUAAACUGCUCAAUAUCAAGAUUUUUUGAUUGGCUCAAUUAUUGUACGAAACUCGCCGCUUUUUGUGCUGAUUUGAUUGAAGAAGCGAAAUCCGACCAACAGUCAAACUCUAAGUGUAAAUAAGGCCAAAGCUAUUUUUUUUUAAGAUCUCAAGUGCAAUUUGCGUUCUUUUGGUCAAGUUAUCGAUAAUUAUCUGUACAAAACAUCAGCAUGAAUGAUCAAAAUGGUUCACACUAAUAUACUGAACGUUCAAAAAACGGUGGACUUUUGAGCAAAAAUGUUGUUACCAAGGCCUAGUUUUAAGCAACUGUAAUUCCAUUAUAUCAACGAUACGUGUCCUAGACCUAAGAUAUAGAUUUUUCUGCGUUUUACUUAACAAAUUGAUCAACAGCAUUUUUUAGUUCUACCGACAAUCAAAGAGAUGGAGAUUUUCAUUUCUCAAACAUUCCGCCAAUUAAAAACCCUUUAUUUUCCUAAAGCCUCCAAAUUCCCUUCUAGAUAACACUUCAGAAAUUUUAGAUAGCUAUUCAUUAAAUUUUGUUUGUGCUCCCUGUAUAUUCGGAUUAUUAGAAGGAGUCGUUGUGCUCUGAAAUGUUUUUGGAAUUGCGCCAAGCCUUUUGCUGCCAGGACCCCAAAAAAUCGAUCAAAAAUGGAAAGUCUGCCCAUAAGGAUUCGUUUCAUCCUCAGGGUUCUUACACAAGUUAUGGUUUCGUAGCGAUUACGAAAGAUUCCAGAACUUAAAAGGAUUUUUUCGCAUGCAACAUUUCGAAUCUAAACUGCUGCUAAACUAAACCUAAACAGCGUGUGGUAAAAUGAUAAUUUAGCUACAAGAAAAUAUCAAUAGUAAUAAAUUUUCUCGAAGAAAGCAAGUUAUAAGAUGGCAGAUUGAAGAACAAAUUUGAUUGUAAACUAGUCAGUUUUUGGGGCUUUUAGGCCGUUGUCGGCCAAAAAUUAUUCCAGACGUUUCGCUAGCAGUAGUUGCUUGCAUUCUCAAGCACUAAAAGGUGGAAACUGACUCAGGACUGGAACAAGCAGGUUGGAAACUUGUGAGUUUUCCACGUAAGAGUACGAAAUUCUCACCAGUUCAGUGUAAAAUCAGUGAUGGCUUAUGGAAAACCAAGAUUGGUAAUUAUCUGGUGUAUUUAUCGGUAUUGUGUUGGUAAUGUUUCUCUCGAUUGGUCUUAACAUGAUUCCAAAUUCACUAUAAAUUUUUUACGCAGCUCAAAGCGAAAUAUUUUAAGCCGCAAGGCAGCAAAUUGGAACUUACCAACUCGCAAUUCAUCUUGCAUCUCUCUCAGAACUCUAUAUGUGCGAGUGAGAGAACCGAUGCAAGCUACGUUCCCGAAUGCAAACUUUCGAUUCAUUUGACUGAUUGCCAUCAGCGUGCACCCAACGUGAGUAAACAUCUGAAGAUGAUAGCCAUGCGUGCUAGGGAAACGUCUGGAAACCUAUGUUCCACUACUAGCUGAAAGCCGGAAAACCUUAAGUUUUCCACAAUGAUUGCAAACGCCGUUUUAAGUUACGUUUGAUAGUUUUAUUGUGUUAGAAAAACUAUGGUAGUAGAUAUUUAAUAAAUAUGUUGAGGCUCUCUGGGAAGACAAACCUGUCUUAAAUUGAAAAAAAAUGUUUCCUUUAUGUUAUUUGAUACGAACCACUAUAGAGUAAGAUUCUAGAUUUAAGGUAGAAUUACGUAAAAAUGUGCUAAUAAUGUGCCAUAGCUCUGAGUUGAACAAAUCAAUUUGGGACUGUGACUAUUCAGCAAAUACUCCUAAUGAAUAUAUCAAUUUCUUAAUGAA